rnacentral:tRNA from 1 species
AGGUUUAUAGCUUAGUGGUAGAGCAAUUGACUAUAGAUCAAUAAGUCACUAGUUCAAACUUGGUUGGGCCCU